rnacentral:rRNA from 1 species
CGGUAAACAGAGGGAAGCGAGCCUGCGAGGGGGAGCGAAUCCCAAAAAUAAACGUCCCAGUUCGGAUUGUAGUCUGCAACCCGACUACAUGAAGCUGGAAUCGCUAGUAAUCGCGGAUCAGAAUGCCGCGGUGAAUACGUUCCCGGGUCUUGUACACACCGCCCGUCACACCAUGGGAGUCGGAAAUGCCCGAAGUCUGUGACCCAACCUACGGGAGGGAGCAGCCGAAGGCAGGCCGGAUGACUGGGGUGAAGUCGUAACAAGGUACC